GGCACUCGUCCCGCAGCGCCUCGAAGUCCUGGCUGAGAUGUGGCGGCUUCACUGUGGCAUCCCUUCCCCACUGUGGAGAGGCGAUACUGGAGACUCGACACCAAUUCCGACUGGUGGGACCGGCUGGUCCUGGAGCAAUGUGAUGACUAGCAGUGACUCCACAACUUCAGGAUGCGGAAGUAGAUGUUCCUGGAAUUGUGUGGCUGGCUCACCUCUGCGCUCCUCAUAGGCAACACCCUGCUGCGGCCCACCAUCCCUAUGAACAAGAGGGUCGCCAUCGUCAUGUGGAAGCUCGUCACCCCAGACAGCUACCACUCAGCGGCACACCAGUUCGGGGUGGGCAGGUCCACAGUGGGUGCCGUCUUGAUGCAGGGUGUCUGAGCCAUCAAUGACAUCCUCCUCAAGAGGGUCAUCCGCCUGCGGGACGUGGACGCAACCAUGACUGGCUUCACUGCCCUGGAGUUCUCAAACUGCGGGGAAGCCAUGAAUGGGCUUCCCAUCCGGGCACUGGAGCAUUGAGCAGCCCACUUCAUCAAUCGGAAGGGGUACUUUUCAAUGGUGCUCCAGGCCCUUGUGGACCAUCGUGCCCACUUCAUGGACAUCUAUGUGGGGUGGUUGGGUAGGGUACAUGAUGCCUGCAUCCUC